GUAGGUGGCAAGCGUUGUCCGGAAUUAUUGGGCGUAAAGCGCGCGCAGGCGGUUCUUUAAGUCUGAUGUGAAAGCCCACGGCUCAACCGUGGAGGGUCAUUGGAAACUGGAGAACUUGAGUACAGAAGAGGAAAGCGGAAUUCCACGUGUAGCGGUGAAAUGCGUAGAGAUGUGGAGGAACACCAGUGGCGAAGGCGGCUUUCUGGUCUGUAACUGACGCUGAGGCGCGAAAGCGUGGGGAGCAAACAGGGAUUAGAUACCCUGGUAGCCCACGCCGUAAACGAUGAGUGCUAAGUGUUAGGGGGGGUUUUCCGGCCCCCCUUAGUGCUGCAGCUAACGCAUUAAGCACUCCGCCUGGGGAGUACGGCCGCAAGGCUG
rnacentral:rRNA from 1 species